rnacentral:rRNA from 1 species
CCCUUAGAUGUUCUGGGCGGCCCGCGCACUACAUUGGCACUAGCAAAGAGAUCCUAGAUUGAAUUCUUUGGGGUAUUCUUCUAAAUGGUGUCGUGACUGGGAUAAAUCCUUGUAAUUAUUGGUUUUGGACGAGGAAUUCCUUGUAAUCGCGGUUUAUCAGCUCGCGUUGAAUGCGUCCCUGCCCUUUGUACACACCGCCCGUCGCUCCUACCGAUGGAUCGUCCGGUGAAGCUCACGGAGUGACUGUUCACGCAACGGUUUACGAAGUGAAAUGGACCUCACGAUUUAGAGGAAGGAGAAGUCGUAACA